rnacentral:lncRNA from 1 species
UUUAUAUUUGAUAUCAGUGGUCAGAAAGCUACUUUUUUUCAUCAGCAGGUAUAAGUGUCUUGUUGGGUGAGAGAAUCAGGAUCUAAAAAGAUUUCUUCAGGUUUUAAUGAUGGGGUGAAUCUUUAAUGACAUAAUGAUAAAUGUCAAGUCCUACAUUUGGGCUAAAAAAAAAUCAGCUGUUAAGCUGGAGAGGUAAGGUAAGGGGACUGGAGGCAGUGUCAUAUCAUUUGAAAACUGGAUGAAGGAAGCUGGAUAUUUAGUUCAGAUAAGAAAAGACUUUUAAAGAAGGCUUGAUUUUCUGUUUUUAGCUAUUUGAGGUGUCCUAUAGAAGACGGGUUAGUCUUUUCUGUUUGGCCCCAGGGGGUCAAAACAAGGACCAGUGAAUGCAUGGAUGCUAUAAGGAGACACAUUUGGGUUCCAUAUGAGAAAGAACUUCCCAAUAAUUCAGAGCUGUUACAAAACACAACCGGCUGUCUUGGGAGAUGGCAAAUUCUCUAAGAAGUAGGUUUGUUCAAGCAUAGGUUUGAUAACCAUUUGUUGAGAGUAUCCUAGAGGUUUAUUGACGCUUCAGGUAAGGGGUUAAACUAGACGACCUGCCAAUUCCAAGAUUCUGUGAUCUUAAUUGCAUUCCCCACCUCUUAUUCUUUUAGGGAUCAGGAACAUCUGGCUUGCUUCUUCACGAUGUAUCAGGAGAACAUUGUUGGAGCUGAGAUGAUUUGAUUGAUGCAAGCUUGGAAACAAGGGGUUUCUCUGUUCAUGAACUCAAGAAGUUGUGACUAAUUAAGAAGAUGAAGAAUGUAUGUGAUGUACUUUGGAGAUUCGUCUUCAGAUAAUGCAUUUCUUUAGACUGAAGAUACCAAUCUGCAUUUCUCAGGGAGAAAUUGGAGGAAAUGGAGGCACCUUACAGGAAAAAUUACCAAAGAGGUGGUGGAAGAAAUUCUGGAAAGAAGAAAACAGUCACUGGAACCCAGCUAGAAUCAACUAAGAGAAGAGAUGUGAAUAAUACAAAUUAACAGGUAAGGCAAAAAAAUAAUUCUACAGUUUUUGACUUUGGAAUUACAAGCAGCACCUACACGUUCAUUCUUAACAUGAAUAUACAUUUCUUUGGCUGGCUCUCCCUCACCUCAUGGUUUGAUCCUACUCUCCACAUCCUGAGACCUGACGAGGACAAGAGGAGAUGGCCACUUGUAGAUAUUCAACAGUUUUGAUUCACUUGUUUUGUUUUUAUCUUUAACAAUUGUUUAACAAGGGGGGAGAAAAGUAAAUGAAUGGUUUUUUUCUGCUCAAUAGAAGAGGCAGAAAAUUGCCUGAACUGACAACUUUUUCUUGAUUUGUUAAGUGACUACAUCUGGAGCUCACUUUGAUACUCUAGAUUAGAUCCCUCAUAUUUUCAAAGAGAUGGGUCAUUUCUUCCUUUGUUCUUUGGAAGUGUGCUGUU